rnacentral:rRNA from 1 species
UACGAAGGGGGCUAGCGUUGUUCGGAAUCACUGGGCGUAAAGGGCGCGUAGGCGGCUUGAUAAGUCGGGGGUGAAAGCCUGUGGCUCAACCACAGAAUUGCCUUCGAUACUGUCGAGCUUGAGACCGGAAGAGGUAAGUGGAACUGCGAGUGUAGAGGUGAAAUUCGUAGAUAUUCGCAAGAACACCAGUGGCGAAGGCGGCUCACUGGACCGGUAUUGACGCUGAGGUGCGAAAGCGUGGGGAGCAAACAGG